rnacentral:rRNA from 1 species
GACAGAGGGUGCAAACGUUGCUCGGAAUCACUGGGCGUAAAGGGCGUGUAGGCGGGAAGGAUAGUCAGAUGUGAAAGCCCUGGGCUCAACCCAGGAACUGCAUUUGAAACUCCCUUUCUUGAGUGUCGGAGAGGAAAGCGGAAUUCCUGGUGUAGAGGUGAAAUUCGUAGAUAUCAGGAGGAACACCGGUGGCGAAGGCGGCUUUCUGGACGACAACUGACGCUGAGACGCGAAAGCGGGGGGAGCAAACAGG